rfam:Gossypium hirsutum cultivar TM-1 chromosome 20, whole genome shotgun sequence
CACUAAAAAUAUCAUCUAUUUAUACUGUUAAAAACUAACAUGCAUGACGGAAUAACUAGACAAUGACACAUGAUUUGUCAUUGUAUCUCACGCUGAUGUUUAAGGACUAGCUCUUAAAAAUAAAAAUAAAUAAAAUUUUUAACA